rnacentral:rRNA from 1 species
CCUACGGGUGGCAGCAGUGGGGAAUAUUGCACAAUGGGGGAAACCCUGAUGCAGCGACGCCGCGUGAGUGAAGAAGGAUUUCGGUAUGUAAAGCUCUAUCAGCAGGGAAGAAAAUGACGGUACCUGACUAAGAAGCCCCGGCUAACUACGUACCAGCAGCCGCGGGAAUACGUCGGGGGCAAGCGUUAUCCGGAUUUACUGGGUGUAAAGUGAGCGUAGACGGCCAGACAAGUCAGAAGUGAAAGCCCAGGGCUCAACCCUGGGACUGCUUUUGAAACUGCCGGGCUUGAGUGCAGGAGAGGUAAGCGGAAUUCCUAGUGUAGCGGUGAAAUGCGUAGAGAUUAGGAGGAACACCAGUGGCGAAGGCGGCUUACUGGACUGUAACUGACGCUGAGGCGCGAAAGCGUGGGGAGCAAACAGGAUUAGAUACCCCUGUAGUC